AGGACGAACGCUGGCGGCGUGCUUAACACAUGCAAGUCGAGCGGAAAGGCCCUUCGGGGUACUCGAGCGGCGAACGGGUGAGUAACACGUGAGCAACCUGCCCUUAGCUUCGGGAUAGCUCCGGGAAACCGGAAUUAAUACCGGAUAUGACUAUGGCCGACAUCAGCCAUGGUGGAAAGUUUUUCGGCUAGGGAUGGACUCGCGGCCUAUCAGCUAGUUGGUGAGGUAACGGCUCACCAAGGCGACGACGGGUAGCCGGCCUGAGAGGGCGACCGGCCACACUGGGACUGAGACACGGCCCAGACUCCUACGGGAGGCAGCAGUGGGGAAUAUUGCGCAAUGGGCGAAAGCCUGACGCAGCGACGCCGCGUGGGGGAUGAAUGCCUUCGGGUUGUAAACCCCUUUCAGCAGGGACGAAGCGAAAGUGACGGUACCUGCAGAAGAAGCGCCGCUAACACGUGCCAGCAGCCGC
rnacentral:rRNA from 1 species